UUGCAUGUCGCAGCAAGACUGCAGUCGAACGGGAGUUCUUUUGGUAGCAAUACCGAGAGAAGUCUAGUGGCGAACGGGUGCGUAACACGUGGGCAAUCUGCCGAAAAGUGGGGGAUAGCUCGCCGAAAGGCGAAUUAAUACCGCAUGUGAUGAGAGACGACAUCGUCUUGAAAUCAAAGCCGGGGCAACCUGGCGCUUUUUGAGGAGCCCGCGGCCUAUCAGCUUGUUGGUGAGGUAACGGCUCACCAAGGCUUUGACGGGUAGCUGGUCUGAGAGGACGACCAGUCACACUGGAACUGAGACACGGUCCAGACACCUACGGGUGGCAGCAGUCGAGAAUUUUUGACAAUGGGGGCAACCCUGAUCGACCGACGCCGCGUGGAGGAUGAAGGUCUUCGGGUUGUAAACUCCUGUCAUUUGAGAACAAGAUGCACACGUUAACUGCGUGUGCAUUGAUAGUAUCAGAAGAGGAAGGGACGGCUAACUCUGUGCCAGCAGCCGCGGUAAUACAGAGGUCCCAAGCGUUGUUCGGAUUCAUUGGGCGUAAAGGGUGCGUAGGUGGCGCCGUAAGUCGGGUGUGAAAUUUCGAGGCUUAACCUCGAAACUGCAUUCGAUACUGCGGUGCUUGAGGACUGGAGAGGAGACUGGAAUUCAUGGUGUAGCAGUGAAAUGCGUAGAGAUCAUGAGGAAGACCAGUGGCGAAGGCGGGUCUCUGGACAGUUCCUGACACUGAGGCACGAAGGCCAGGGGAGCAAACGGGAUUAGAUACCCCGGUAGUCCUGGCAGUAAACGGUGCACGUUUGGUGUGGGAGGAUUCGACCCCUUCUGCGCCGGAGCUAACGCGUUAAACGUGCCGCCUGGGGAGUACGGUCGCAAGAUUAAAACUCAAAGAAAUUGACGGGGGCCCGCACAAGCGGUGGAGUAUGUGGCUUAAUUCGAUGCAACGCGAAGAACCUUACCUGGGCCUUGACAUGCAUCUCUAAACCGGUGAAAGCCCGGCGAGUCUCGAAGAGACAUU
rnacentral:rRNA from 1 species